UCAUUUCGUGAAUAGUCUUGGUGAUGGC
rnacentral:sRNA from 1 species